rnacentral:rRNA from 1 species
CACUCCUACGGGAGGCAGCAGUGGGGAAUAUUGCACAAUGGGCGCAAGCCUGAUGCAGCCAUGCCGCGUGUAUGAAGAAGGCCUUCGGGUUGUAAAGUACUUUCAGCAGUGAGGAAGGUGGAUAUGUUAAUAGCAUAUUCAUUUGACGUUAGCUGCAGAAGAAGCACCGGCUAACUCCGUGCCAGCAGCCGCGGUAAUACGGAGGGUGCGAGCGUUAAUCGGAAUUACUGGGCGUAAAACGCAUGCAGGUGGUUUGUUAAGUCAGAUGUGAAAGCCCGGGGCUCAACCUCGGAAUUGCAUUUGAAACUGGCAAACUAGAGUACUGUAGAGGGGGUAGAAUUUCAGGUGUAGCGGUGAAAUGCGUAGAGAUCUGAAGGAAUACCGGUGGCGAAGGCGGCCCCCUGGACAGAUACUGACACUCAGAUGCGAAAGCGUGGGGAGCAAACAGGAUUAGAUACCCUGGUAG